rnacentral:lncRNA from 1 species
AAAACUCUCCAGGUCUGGCGUUUUCAAAAAUUUACCGGCAUCAAAUGCCAUUUUGUAGAAUUUUGUUGGCUAGUUAUAAUAAAAAUAUUGAAAAAAUUUUGAAUAAUAUAUUUUCAGUCUCCCGGACGAGCCCCCAAUUUCUGUUACGGCCAGAAAUCGCCUUUAAAUUGUAGCCAACAAAAGACACAAAUCAAUAGUAAAAUUUAACAAUAUUUAAUAUACAAAAGUUUACAAAAGGUAUUACACAAAUAUUACUGUUAACUUAACUGUCAAAAUAUGAGUCCAAUCUGUUAUCUUUAUCUGUAUCCGGAAAUCUUUC